CCUCCGAGCGAGCCGCUCCGGCUCAGGACCGGGCUCUGGCGGAAGCCGCUGUCGUGUCGUCAGAUCCGCCGGGCGCCGGAUCGAAGCUCCGAUCCUCCUCGAUGACCGGAUCCAUCCCUCAGAGGGCAAAGUGGCUGUAAAAAUCCAGCACAGCUGCAAUCCCUACUUUUUUUUCUGUGCUCUCUUUGAAGAAUCCGCUGAAUGCUGGAAGUUGAGCAGGAGCCGUCAACCACGAGACUGUGUGUGUGUCUGAGAUCCGCUUCCCGCUGUCUUUGGCCAGCCUGUCACUCGUCCGCGGAUGUCAGAAAUCAAUCACCGCGGAGCAGCCUUGACUUUGGGAGCAGCUUGCAUCUCACCGGUGAGGGGACGGGUGUGGAGUAAUCUCCCCAAGUCCUCUUUCCCACCGCCACACCCACGAUGCUCAUACACGGAUGGAUUUUCAUCAUCAGGUGACGGGCGUGCUGGAGCCCAUCCCAGCAAUCUUCGGGCGACAGGCGGGGUACACCCAGUACUGGUCGCCAGCCAAUCACAGUGAAUAGACAUAUUUUGUGUAAAACUGUUAUUUUGCUGAGAAAUUUGUGAUGAAUUCA